GUGGAGCUUAACUCCNUUUGAGCNAUGGAAACUGCNAGACUAGAGUGUGGUAGGGGCAGAGGGAAUUCCCNGUGUANCCGUGAAAUGGGNNGANNUNGGGAAGAACNCCAGUGGCCAAGGCGCUCUGCUGGGCCAUAACUGACGCUCAUGGACGAAAGCCAGGGGAGCGAAAGGGAUUAGAUACCCCUGUAGUCCUGGCCGUAAACGAUGAACACUAGGUGUCGGGGGAAUCGACCCCCCUCGGUGUCGUAGCCAACGCGUUAAGUGUUCCCGCCUGGGGAGUACGCACGCAAGUGUGAAANUCAAAGGAAUUGACGGGGGCCCCGCACAAGCGGUGGAGUAUGUGGUUUAAUUCGAUGCAACGCGAAGAACCUUACCAGGGUUUGACAUCCUGCGAAUCCCUUGGAAACGAGGGAGUGCCUUCGGGAGCGCAGAGACAGGUGGUGCAUGGCUGUCGUCGCUCNUGUCGUGAGAUGUUGGGUUAAGUCCCCGCAACGAGCGCAACCCACGUCGUUAGUUGCCAGCAUUCAGUUGGGCACUCUAGCNAGACCGCCGGUGAUAANCNGAGGAAGGUGUGGAUGACNUCAAGUCAUCAUGCCCCUUACAUNCUGGGCUACNCACGUACUACAAUGCUACGGACAAAGGCAGCAAACUCCCNAAAGCUANCAAUNCCAUAAACCGUGGCUCAGUUCAAAUCUA
rnacentral:rRNA from 1 species